rnacentral:rRNA from 1 species
CUACGGGAUGCUCCAGGCAGGAAACCUUUACAAUGCACGAAAGUGUGAUAAGGGAACCCUAAGUGCUUACUUUCGAGUGAGCUUUUGUCAAGUGUAAAAAUCUUGACGAAUAAGUGGUGGGUAAGACCGGUGCCAGCAGCCGCGGUAAUCCCGGCGCCACGAGUGGCAAUCAGUUUUAUUGGGUCUAAAGCGUCCGUAGCUGAUUUGAUAAGUCUUCUGUUAAAUGGUCAAGCUUAACUUGUCCACUGCAAAAGAUACUGUCAAGUUAGGGAUUGGGAGGAGGUAGAGGUAUUCCAGGGGUAGCGGUAGAAUGUGAUAAUCCUUGGAAGACCACCUAUGGCGAAGGCAUCUACCUAGAACAAAUCCGACAGUGAGGGACGAAAGCCAGGGGAGCAAAAGGGAUUAGAUACCCUUGUAGUC